ncrna:unclassified sequences RAGATH-25 RNA
CUCAAGACCGGAGCUCUCCGGAAAAUAAGAAGGUCGCCCGUGUCAGGGUA